rnacentral:tRNA from 1 species
AAGGAUUUAAGUUAAAAAAACUUUUAACCUUCAAAGUUAAUAAUAGAUCAAACAUAUCUAAGCCUUA